UACGUAGGGUGCGAGCGUUAAUCGGAAUUACUGGGCGUAAAGCGUGCGCAGGCGGGCUUUUAAGCCAGACGUGAAAUCCCCGGGCUUAACCUGGGAAUGGCGUUUGGGACUGGAAGUCUGGAGUGCGGCAGAGGAGACUGGAAUUCCUGGUGUAGCAGUGAAAUGCGUAGAUAUCAGGAGGAACACCGAUGGCGAAGGCGGCAUCCUGGACUGGUCCUGACACUCAGGAGCGAAAGCGUGGGGAGCGAUCCGG
rnacentral:rRNA from 1 species